rnacentral:rRNA from 1 species
AUGAACGCUGGCGGCGUGCCUCAUACAUGCAAGUCGAGCGAACAGACGAGGAGCUUGCUCCUCUGACGUUAGCGGCGGACGGGUGAGUAACACGUGGAUAACCUACCUAUAAGACUGGGAUAACUUCGGGAAACCGGAGCUAAUACCGGAUAAUAUAUUGAACCGCAUGGUUCAAUAGUGAAAGACGGUUUUGCUGUCACUUAUAGAUGGAUCCGCGCCGCAUUAGCUAGUUGGUAAGGUAACGGCUUACCAAGGCAACGAUGCGUAGCCGACCUGAGAGGGUGAUCGACCACACUGGAACUGAGACACGGUCCAGACUCCUACGGGAGGCAGCAGUAGGGAAUCUUCCGCAAUGGGCGAAAGCCUGACGGAGCAACGCCGCGUGAGUGAUGAAGGUCUUCGGAUCGUAAAACUCUGUUAUUAGGGAAGAACAAAUGUGUAAGUAACUAUGCACGUCUUGACGGUACCUAAUCAGAAAGCCACGGCUAACUACGUG